AGAGUUUGAUCCUGGCUCAGGAUGAACGCUAGCGAUAGGCUUAACACAUGCAAGUCGAGGGGCAGCAUUAUUUUAGCUUGCUAAGAUAGAUGGCGACCGGCGCACGGGUGCGUAACGCGUAUGCAACCUGCCUGUAAUUAGGGAAUAACCCGGUGAAAGUCGGACUAAUACCCUAUAUUCUUCUUUCUCCGCAUGGAGAAGGACGGAAAGAUUUAUUGAUUACAGAUGGGCAUGCGUCCCAUUAGCUGGUUGGUAAGGUAACGGCUUACCAAGGCAACGAUGGGUAGGGGGACUGAGAACACUGGUACUGAGACACGGACCAGACUCCUACGGGAGGCAGCAGUGAGGAAUAUUGGUCAAUGGGCGAGAGCCUGAACCAGCCAAGUCGCGUGAAGGACGACGGUUCUAUGGAUUGUAAACUUCUUUUGUAGAGGAAUAACGGCAGCUACGUGUAGCUGAGAUGCAUGUACUCUACGAAUAAGUAUCGGCUAACUCCGUGCCAGCAGCCGCGGUAAUACGGAGGAUACGAGCGUUAUCCGGAAUUAUUGGGUUUAAAGGGUGCGUAGGUGGCGUAUUAAGUCAGUGGUGAAAAGCUGCAGCUCAACUGUAGUCUUGCCGUUGAAACUGAUAUGCUAGAGAGGAGACGAGGUAUGCGGAAUGUGUGGUGUAGCGGUGAAAUGCAUAGAUAUCACACAGAACGCCGAUUGCGAAGGCAGCGUACCAGGCUCCGUCUGACACUGAAGCACGAAAGCGUGGGGAUCAAACAGGAUUAGAUACCCUGGUAGUCCACGCAGUAAACCAACGGUGAAACUCAAAGGAAUUGACGGGGGCCCGCACAAGCGGAGGAACAUGUGGUUUAAUUCGAUGAUACGCGAGGAACCUUACCCGGGAUUGAAAUUUGGAUGACGGCAGAUGAGAGUUUGCUUUCCUUCGGGACAUCUAAGUAGGUGCUGCAUGGUUGUCGUCAGCUCGUGCCGUGAGGUGUCGGCUUAAGUGCCAUAACGAGCGCAACCCGCGUCGAUAGUUACUAACAGGUUAUGCUGAGGACUCUAUCGAGACAGCCGUCGUAAGACGCGAGGAAGGGGCGGAUGACGUCAAAUCAGCACGGCCCUUACAUCCGGGGCGACACACGUGUUACAAUGGCAGGGACAAAGGGAAGCGACAUGGUGACAUGAAGCGGAUCUCCAAACCCUGUCCCAGUUCGGAUCGGAGUCUGCAACUCGACUCCGUGAAGCUGGAUUCGCUAGUAAUCGCGCAUCAGCCAUGGCGCGGUGAAUACGUUCCCGGGCCUUGUAC
rnacentral:rRNA from 1 species